CCUACGGGAGGCAGCAGUGGGGAAUAUUGGACAAUGGGCGCAAGCCUGAUCCAGCAAUGCCGCGUGAGUGAUGAAGGCCUUCGGGUUGUAAAGCUCUUUCGCACGCGACGAUGAUGACGGUAGCGUGAGAAGAAGCCCCGGCUAACUUCGUGCCAGCAGCCGCGGUAAU
rnacentral:rRNA from 1 species